UAAUAAGGUGCCUGAUAAAAGGGUUACUUUGAUAGAGUAAAUCAUAUGAACCGGCUUCAUUCUUAUUAU
rnacentral:tRNA from 1 species